UACAGAGGGGGCAAGCGUUGUUCGGAAUUACUGGGCGUAAAGGGCGCGUAGGCGGCCUUCUAAGUCGAACGUGAAAUCCCUGGGCUCAACCCAGGAACUGCGUCCGAUACUGGAUGGCUUGAGUUUGGGAGAGGGAUGCGGAAUUCCAGGUGUAGCGGUGAAAUGCGUAGAUAUCUGGAGGAACACCGGUGGCGAAGGCGGCAUCCUGGACCAACACUGACACUGAUGAGCGAAAGCCAGGGGAGCAAACGGG
rnacentral:rRNA from 1 species